rnacentral:rRNA from 1 species
AUUGAACGCUGGCGGCAGGCCUAACACAUGCAAGUCGAGCGGAUGAAGGGAGCUUGCUCCUGGAUUCAGCGGCGGACGGGUGAGUAAUGCCUAGGAAUCUGCCUGGUAGUGGGGGAUAACGUCCGGAAACGGGCGCUAAUACCGCAUACGUCCUGAGGGAGAAAGUGGGGGAUCUUCGGACCUCACGCUAUCAGAUGAGCCUAGGUCGGAUUAGCUAGUUGGUGGGGUAAAGGCCUACCAAGGCGACGAUCCGUAACUGGUCUGAGAGGAUGAUCAGUCACACUGGAACUGAGACACGGUCCAGACUCCUACGGGAGGCAGCAGUGGGGAAUAUUGGACAAUGGGCGAAAGCCUGAUCCAGCCAUGCCGCUUGUGUGAAGAAGGUCUUCGGAUUGUAAAGCACUUUAAGUUGGGAGGAAGGGCAGUAAGUUAAUACCUUGCUGUUUUGGCGUUACCAACAGAAUAAGCACCGGCUAACUUCGUG